rnacentral:rRNA from 1 species
CCUACGGGUGGCAGCAGUGAGGAAUAUUGGUCAAUGGACGAGAGUCUGAACCAGCCAAGUAGCGUGAAGGAUGACUGCCCUAUGGGUUGUAAACUUCUUUUAUAUGGGAGUAAAAUGUUCCACGUGUGGGAUUUUGUAUGUACCCUAUGACUAAGGAUCGGCUAAAUCCGUGCCAGCAGCCGCGGUAAUAAGGGGGAUCCCAGCGUUAUCCGGAUUUAUUGGGUGUAAAGGGAGCGUAGGUGGAUAGUUAAGUCAGUAGUGAAAGUUUGAGGCUCAACCCUAAAAUUGCAGUUGAAACUGGGUGUCUUGAGUACAGGAGAGGUGGGCGGAAUUCGUGGUGUAGCGGUGAAAUGCGUAGAUAUCACGAAGAACCCCGAUUGCGAAGGCAGCUUACUAAACUGUGACUGACAUUGAUGCUCGAAAGUGUGGGUAUCAAACAGGAUUAGAUACCCUGGUAGUC